rnacentral:lncRNA from 1 species
AAGAGAGGAGACCAUAUUCAUGUGUAAUAAAGUCUAGCACUACAACCAAAACCAUUUAAUUGGCAUGUGUUUAUGUGUGCUAAAGUAUGUUAAUUUAAAAUUAUUUUUACAAGAAAAGCAGGUAAUUAAUUUAGUUAAAUGUAAUAUUUGUGGUGAGGGCAGAUUCCGACACAUAGGCUAAGGCCUUAGCUCGUCCGGAUCCCGGAGAUUAUGCACCUUGUCCCCAUAUACGCCUCUGAUUGA